AUACGGCCGUACCGUGCUGAAUAUGCCGGUUCUCGUUAGAUCACCGAAGUCAAGCAUCAUUGGGCGCGGUCAGUACUUGGGUGGGUGACCACCUGGGAACACUGCGUGCCGUU
rnacentral:rRNA from 1 species